AAUCUUAACCAGAAGUUGGAACGCCAUGAAAAAGUUAGCUCUUGCGCUGUCUGUUGUAGUUGCCGCCAUAUCUUCAC
rnacentral:tRNA from 1 species